UACAGAGGGUGCAAGCGUUAAUCGGAGUUACUGGGCGUAAAGGGCGCGUAGGUGGUUGUGUAAGUGAGAUGUGAAAUCCCUGGGCUUAACCUAGGAACUGCAUCUUAUACUGCAUAACUGGAGUACUGUAGAGGGUAGUGGAAUUUCCGGUGUAGCGGUGAAAUGCGUAGAGAUCCGGAAGAACACCAGUGGCGAAGGCGGCCCGCUGGGCAGUGGCUGACGCUGAGGCGCGAACAGCGUGGGGACGCAAACAGG
rnacentral:rRNA from 1 species